UAUUGAAGUUACAUGUUUUUAAAAAUAAGAUAAAAUUUUAAUCUAUUGGCAAGACUAUAUCUUAAACUUUUCAUAUUAUUAAUUCCACUUCCCUUACGGGAAUAUUAUAACAAAACAGUAAAACAUACAUUGGACUGAUGAUAUAUAGUUUGGGACCCUAGCAGUACAUGAAAAGAUAGUAUUGCACCAGAAAAAAGUAAUAGCGGAAGAAUUUAUUUAUAAAAGAUAGUAAUAACAUAAACAAAAGAAUUGCAACAAAAAAAAAAGGAAAGAAUAUUUGAACAUUAUAAACCGGAGUUUCGGAUGAAAGUGAUCAUACUAAUAGAAGUUGAUGCAUUACUGAGAAUCGAAAUGAUUAACCCUUUCCUCCGAUUCCAAAUGAAAACAAAGUUUUGGCUAUUUUAGAUUGAAAAUAAUCUGAUUUUUGGUUUCAACAACAACAACAACCCAGUAUAAUCCCACUUAGUGGGUCUGGGGAGGGUAGUGUGUACGCA
rnacentral:lncRNA from 1 species